GGCGGACGGGUGAGUAAUACUUAGAAAUCUGCCCAUUAGUGGGGGACAACUAGAAGAAAUUCUAGCUAAUACCGCAUACGCCCUACGGGGGAAAGCGGGGGAUCUUCGGACCUCGCGCUAAUGGAUGAGCCUAAGUCGGAUUAGCUUGUUGGUGAGGUAAAGGCUCACCAAGGCGACGAUCCGUAGCUGGUCUGAGAGGACGAUCAGCCACACUGGGACUGAGACACGGCCCAG
rnacentral:rRNA from 1 species